AAGGUCUUAUCUUAAUUAAAGUCCCUGGGUUGCAUUCAGGAGAUGUUGGAUAUUAUCCUGCAGACCUUA
rnacentral:tRNA from 1 species